rnacentral:rRNA from 1 species
UACGAAGGGGGCUAGCGUUGUUCGGAAUUACUGGGCGUAAAGCGUAUGCAGGCGGACUCUUAAGUCGGGGGUGAAAUCCCGAGGCUCAACCUCGGAACUGCCUUCGAUACUGGAAGUCUUGAGUCCGGGAGAGGUGAGUGGAACUCCGAGUGUAGAGGUGAAAUUCGUAGAUAUUCGGAAGAACACCAGUGGCGAAGGCGGCUCACUGGCCCGGUACUGACGCUGAGAUACGAAAGCGUGGGGAGCAAACAGG